rnacentral:rRNA from 1 species
UACGGAGGGGGCUAGCGUUGUUCGGAAUUACUGGGCGUAAAGGGCUCGUAGGCGGCCAACUAAGUCAGACGUGAAAUCCCUCGGCUUAACCGGGGAACUGCGUCUGAUACUGGAUGGCUAGAGGUUGGGAGAGGGAUGCGGAAUUCCAGGUGUAGCGGUGAAAUGCGUAGAUAUCUGGAGGAACACCGGUGGCGAAGGCGGCAUCCUGGACCAACACUGACACUGAGGAGCGAAAGCCAGGGGAGCAAACGGG